rnacentral:rRNA from 1 species
GGAAUAUUGCGCAAUGGGGGAAACCCUGACGCAGCAACGCCGCGUGGGUGAAGAAGGCCUUCGGGUCGUAAAGCCCUUUCGGACGGGACGAACGCUCCGCGGUGACAACCCGCGGAGCUUGACGGUACCGUAGGAAGAAGCACCGGCUAACUCCGUGCCAGCAGCCGCGGUAAUCCGGAGGGUGCAAGCGUUGUUCGGAAUUACUGGGCGUAAAGCGCGUGUAGGCGGCCUGGUAAGUCAGGUGUGAAAGCCCUCGGCUUAACCGGGGAAGUGCAUCUGAAACUGCCUGGCUUGAGUACGGGAGAGGGAGGCGGAAUUCCCAGUGUAGAGGUGAAAUUCGUAGAUAUUGGGAGGAACACCGGUGGCGAAAGCGGCCUCCUGGACCGAUACUGACGCUGAGACGCGAAAGCGUGGGGAGCAAAC